rnacentral:rRNA from 1 species
GCCAGACUCCUACGGGAGGCAGCAGUGAGGAAUAUUGGUCAAUGGUCGGGAGACUGAACCAGCCAAGCCGCGUGAGGGAUGAAGGUACAGAGUAUCGUAAACCUCUUUUGUCAGGGAACAAAGGUGGGGACUAGUCCCCGGAUGAGGGUACCUGAAGAAAAAGCAUCGGCUAACUCCGUGCCAGCAGCCGCGGUAAUACGGAGGAUGCGAGCGUUAUCCGGAUUUAUUGGGUUUAAAGGGUGCGCAGGCGGCCUGUUAAGUCAGCGGAAAAAGCCGGGGGCUCAACCCCGGGGAGCCGUUGAAACUGACGGUCUUGAGUGGGCGAGAAGUAUGCGGAAUGCGUGGUGUAGCGGUGAAAUGCAUAGAUAUCACGCAGAACUCCGAUUGCAAAGGCAGUAUACCGGCGCCCAACUGACGCUGAAGCACGAAAGCGUGGGUAUCGAACAGGAUUAGAUACCCCUGUAGC